CGAGGGGUCCUAGCGUUGUUCGGAAUCAUUGGGCGUAAAGAGCUCGUAGGUGGCUUAGUAAGUCAGGUGUGAAAGCCCAGGGCUCAACCCUGGAAGUGCACUUGAAACUGCAUAGCUUGAGUACGGUAGAGGUAAGGUGGAAUUCCUGGUGUAGUGGUGAAAUACGUAGAUAUCAGGAGGAACAUCGGUGGCGAAGGCGGCUUACUGGACCCAGUACUGACACUGAGGAGCGAAAGCAUGGGGAUCAAACAGGAUUAGAUACCCUGGUAGUCCAUGCUGUAAACGAUGGAUACUUGUUGUUGGAGGUAUUGACCCCUUCAGUGACGAAGCUAACGCGUUAAGUAUCCCGCCUGGGAAGUACGGUCGCAAAGAUUA
rnacentral:rRNA from 1 species